rnacentral:rRNA from 1 species
UAAUGUAUGGGGAUCUGCCCGAUAGAGGGGGAUAACUACUGGAAACGGUGGCUAAUACCGCAUAAUGCUACGGACCAAAGCAGGGGCUCUUCGGACCUUGCACUAUCGGAUGAACCCAUAUGGGAUUAGCUAGUAGGUGGGGUAAAGGCUCACCAGGCGACGAUCUCUAGCUGGUCUGAGAGGAUGAUCAGCCACACUGGGACUGAGACACGGCCCAG